rnacentral:rRNA from 1 species
CCUACGGGUGGCUGCAGUGGGGAAUUUUGGACAAUGGGGGCAACCCUGAUCCAGCAAUGCCGCGUGAGUGAAGAAGGCCUUCGGGUUGUAAAGCUCUUUUGUCCGGGAAGAAAUCCUCUUGGUUAAUACCUGGGAGGGAUGACGGUACUGGAAGAAUAAGCACCGGCUAACUACGUGCCAGCAGCCGCGGUAAUACGUAGGGUGCAAGCGUUAAUCGGAAUUACUGGGCGUAAAGCGUGCGCAGGCGGUUGUGCAAGACCGAUGUGAAAUCCCCG